rnacentral:misc_RNA from 1 species
GAUGAAGAACGCAGCGAAAUGCGAUAAGUAAUGUGAAUUGCAGAAUUCAGUGAAUCAUCGAAUCUUUGAACGCACAUUGCGCCCGCCAGUAUUCUGGCGGGCAUGCCUGUCUGAGCGUCAUUUCAACCCUCAUGCCCCUAGGGCGUGGUGUUGGGGAACGGCCAAAGCCCGCGAGGGACGGCCGGCCCCUAAAUCUAGUGGCGGACCCGUCGUGGCCUCCUCUGCGAAGUAGUGAUAUUCCGCAUCGGAGAGCGAUGAGCCCCUGCCGUUAAACCCCCAACUUUCCAAGGUUGACCUCAGAUCAGGUAGGAAUACCCGCUGAACUUAAGCAUAUCAAUAAGCGGAGGA